rnacentral:rRNA from 1 species
UACGUAAGUCGCAAGCGUUAUCCGGAAUUAUUGGGCGUAAAGCGUCCGUAGGCGGUUUUAUAAGUCUGUGGUUAAAGCCCGGGGCUCAACCCCGGAAUCGUCAUGGAAACUAUAAAACUUGAGGUAUGCAGGGGUAGAUGGAAUUCCAGAAGUAGGGGUAAAAUCCGUAGAUCUCUGGAGGAACACCAAACGCGAAGGCAUUCUACUGGGCAUUACCUGACGCUAAGGGACGAAAGUGUGGGGAGCAAAC